AGUGAACGCUGGCGGUAGGCCUAACACAUGCAAGUCGAACGGCAGCACAGUAAGAGCUUGCUCUUACGGGUGGCGAGUGGCGGACGGGUGAGGAAUACAUCGGAAUCUACUUUUUAGUGGGGGAUAACGUAGGGAAACUUACGCUAAUACCGCAUACGACCUACGGGUAAAAGCAGGGGAUCUUCGGACCUUGCGCGAUUGAAUGAGCCUAUGUCGGAUUUGCUAGUUGGCGGGGUAAAGGCCCAGCAAGGCGACGAUCCGUAGCUGGUCUGAGAGGAUGAUCGGCCACACUGGAGCUGAGACAGGGUCCAGACUCCUACGGGAGGCAGCAGUGGGGAAUAUUGGACAAUGGGCGCAAGCCUGAUCCAGACAUACCGCGUGGGUGAAGAAGGCCUUCGGGUUGUAAAGCCCUUUUGUUGGGAAAGAAAAGCAGCAGGUUAAUACCCCGCUGUUCUGACGGUACCCAAAGAAUAAGCACCGGCUAACUUCGUG
rnacentral:rRNA from 1 species